GGCGGGGUGGGUGAGUGGCUAAUACCAGCAGACUGUAAAUCUGCCGCCGCGAGGCUUCGUAGGUUCGAAUCCUGCCCCCGCCA
rnacentral:tRNA from 1 species